GUUGUCGUGGCCGAGCGGUUAAGGCGAUGGAUUAGAAAUCCAUUGGGGUCUCCCCGCACAGGUUCGAAUCCUGUCGACUAACG